AUCAUCUACUUUCAUUCCUCCUGCUUUGUAACUGAAUAAUCUUUGACUUCAUCAGGAUUUCUCAAUGUGUUUAGAUACUCAGUGAAUUUGUGAAAUCCUUCAAUUCCUAAGUGGCAAGCUCCUUCGGACUUUAUCCCUGCCAAUUUUGUUCAAAUUUCUUCAAUUAGUUUUAUAUCCACUCCCUUCACCCUGGAGCAGAGUAUACCGUCUUCAACUCUUAUAUUACAGUAGAAAACUUUAACCAGAUCAGGAUGCCAAGGGUCAUACAUUUCCACAAACUUUCUCAGCCCUUGACAUUUAAUCCAUCUUUGAAAUUUGAAACCCUCUUCUCUGAUAAAUUUCAUCUUCAAGUAUCUGUGAGGUAUUAAACUUCUCAUCCAUCC
rnacentral:lncRNA from 1 species